GACCGCAAAAUACCUUGCGACAUCUGUGCACUCUGCCAGGUGUAUGAAUACUAAGAAAAUAUGAAAGGGGCAAAACAAACGGAACAAGUGGAAAACUAGCAACUUCCAUAUAAAUGCUAGGUAGUAGAACAUUGAACUGAUGAUAUAGCACCAAAAUUCUGCAAUUCUGAAUUUUCAGUCAUCGUCACAACAUAUCCCGAAACUUUAAAGAUUGCAAGAAAUGUUAGGAGAAUUUCAUUCACAGCUUAAUUGAGCUAAGAGAUUGCUGGAAGCGUAUGCUUGGAAUAUUUUAAACAAACUCUAUUCGAUUUUUUUGAGAGUUCUGGAAGUUAUCUAUUGCAAUCUCAUUUAAAAAUUCAGGCAUCUAAUUUCUGAUGCUAGUUCUUGUAAAGUAGAAAGAAAGCAUGAAAAUAUUUAAGAAAUGCAUAACAAAACUGAAACUGCGUAUCUAGAAUUUCAAAUGUCAGCAACUUGAUUCAAGCACAUUAAUCAUGAAAUUAGGCGAGUGAUAUUGAGAUCUCAACCUAUGGAUCCAAAUGGAACCCUAUGUCCAAAUUUUUAAUGCAAAGUCAACCUAACUUAAGAUCAACAGCAAGAUGAGGUUCAUAAGCAGUCUCUUUUACCAGGUAUAAUUAAAAUUAAUAUCUCAUGUACCAAAAGCCAGUCCACUAGCAUUGUCGCCAUUCAAUGCUAGAGAGAGUACAACCAGUUUGUGUCAUACAUUAAGAAUCUCUUAUCCUGAUGAUAUAAAAUUGACCAAAGAAGGAAAAAAACAACACACACA
rnacentral:misc_RNA from 1 species